AAGACUAUAGACCUGCGGAGUACCUGCGGAAGGAUCAUUACCGAGUUAGGGUCUUUUGGCCCGACCUCCAACCCUUUGUUUAUUAUACCAUGUUGCUUUGGUGGGCCUGCCUUUCGGGGCUGCCGGGGGCAUCACUGCCCCUGACUCGUGCCUGCCAGGAGCCUUCUUAAAUUCAGUGUUCAACGGUGCUGUCUGAGUCCCAGUAUCAAAAUAUCAAAAACUUUCAACAACGGAUCUCUA
rnacentral:misc_RNA from 1 species